GGGCUUGACAUCCCACGAACCUGCCCGAAAAGGUGGGGUGCCCGCAAGGGAGCGUGGAGACAGGUGGUGCAUGGCUGUCGUCAGCUCGUGUCGUGAGAUGUUGGGUUAAGUCCCGCAACGAGCGCAACCCUCACCCCUAGUUGCCACCGGGUUAAGCCGAGCACUCAAGGGGAACUGCCAGCGUCAAGCUGGAGGAAGGCGGGGAUGACGUCAAGUCAUCAUGCCCCUUACGCCCUGGGCUACACACGUGCUACAAUGGCCAGUACAAAGGGACGCGAGACUGCGAAGUGGAGCUAAUCCCAAAAAGCUGGUCUAAGUUCAGAUUGCAGUCUGCAACUCGACUGCAUGAAGGAGGAAUCGCUAGUAAUCGCGUACCAGCCCGGCGCGGUGAAUACGUUCCCGGGCCUUGUACACACCGCCCGUCACACCACGAAAGCUGUCUGUACUCGAAGUCGCUGAG
rnacentral:rRNA from 1 species